rnacentral:rRNA from 1 species
UUUGGUCUGUAACUGACGCUGAGGCGCGAAAGCGUGGGGAGCAAACAGGAUUAGAUACCCUGGUAGUCCACGCCGUAAACGAUGAGUGCUAAGUGUURGAGGGUUUCCGCCCUUUAGKGCUGCASCAAACGCAUUAAGCACUCCGCCUGGGGAGUACGGCCGCAAGGYUGAAACUCAAAGGAAUUGACGGGGGCCCGCACAAGCGGKGGAGCAUGUGGUUUAWUUCRAAGCAMCGCGAARAACCUUACCRGGUCUUGACWUCUCCUGACAACCCUARARAUAGGGSGUUCCCCUUCGGGGGACAGGAUGACAGGUGGUGSAUGGUUGUCGUCAGCUCGUGUCGKGAGAUGUUGGGUUAAGUCCCGCAACGAGCGCAACCCUUGAUCUUAGUUGCCAGCAUUCAGUUGGGCACUCUAAGGUGACUGCCGGUGACAAACCGGAGGAAGGKGGGGAUGACGUCAAAUCWUCAUGCCCCUUAUGACCUGGGCUACACACGUGCUACAAUGGAUGGUACAAAGGGCUGCAAGACCGCGAGGUUAAGCGAAUCCCAUAAAACCAUUCUCAGUUCGGAUUGCAGGCUGCAACUCGCCUGCAUGAAGCCGGAAUCGCUAGUAAUCGCGGAUCARCAUGCCGCGGUGAWUACGUUCCCGGGCCUUGUACACACCGCCCGUCACACCACGAGAGUUUGUAACWCCCGAAGUCGGUGGGGUAACCUUUUGGAGCCAGCCGCCUAAGGUGGGACAGAUGAUUGGGGUGAAGU